AGAGAAGAAUGCCAUUUACUUCCCCAGUACUAGGAGAAGGAGGUGACAAUAUCUAGUUACUUACUAAAUCCCUGCUGCUUCUUAGAGAAGCUAAAUCCCCAGGCUCAUUGAAAGGAUUAAUCAGAUACUCAUGGAAAGUGCAUGUACUUCAUGGAGAUCUCAUCCACUGCCUGGAGCUUUGGCCAUAGAGAACUCUUCUGUGUCAGCUCCUAAAUCCUUCAACAUGCCCUCAGUCCUCAAGCAUUUUCUUGCUUUUGGACCACAAGAUGCUCCAAGAUCAUCUUAAAUUUAUCCUUCCCCAACUCUGGAAUCAAACACUUCUCCAAGGAGCCCUGGUUUCUUUCAUUGGAGAAUAUCUAAAAACCAAGAUUUGGACCCUAGGGAUGAUGGUAUGGGUUCACUUUGUCCAUCUCGUUUGGAUGACAUCAUCAGACAAGCAUUCUGUACCUCUCCAUCAAGACCCAUAAGAUUACCUGAUGUUUGACAGAGCUGAGGAAAAAGAAACCAAAAUGACCCAAUGGAACAUAUAUGCUGAUUUCAGUUAUUAUUAUUUGAUAGAAACGAUGAACUCAGUUGUAUAAGCUUGGCCACCUGACUUCUUGAAAGACACAUUUCAGAUAUGGAAAUACUUCAGAGGGUUGUGUUGAAUCUCUAAGAAGACAUUGAUCAUUCAAUUCCCAGUGGCCAAUGGUUGACCUCUUUUGAGACAUUUCUAACUGGAAAGAAAAGACAGGUCUUCCUGCCUUCGGUGGAACCUCACUUUUAAUGAUGUUGCCUUAUGAAGAUGUGACCUAAGGAAGGACUGGGUACAGACAAUGCUUUUAAUCUCACUUGCCUUAUUCUUCAUUUUUAUAUCUAGGUUUCAAGAAACCAGUGUUAGCUAACAGCACUGUUUUUACUGCUAAGCAAAACUUCAGGAAGGGGCAUUCUUUGAUAAAACAUUAAUUAACCAAUUUUCUGUCAGUCUAAAUUAAAACCUACACUGUUUCCCUUUGCCCUCCCAAGGUUUUCUCUUACAUGCUUAUUACAAAUAAUUUUAAGGAGUAUAAAAGUGACAGUGAUUGGUUUUAAUAUUGAAAACCUAAAAUUAAUAAAUGCAGUUUUGACUGCUGCUACUGUC